AGGAAUAUUGGUCAAUGGACGCAAGUCUGAACCAGCCAUGCCGCGUGAAGGAUGAAGGUCCUCUGGAUUGUAAACUUCUUUUAUCAGGGACGAAAACGGGAUUUUUAUCUCAAUUGACGGUACCAGAGGAAUAAGCACCGGCUAACUCCGUGCCAGCAGCCGCGGUAAUACGGAGGGUGCGAGCGUUAUCCGGAUUUACUGGGUUUAAAGGGUGCGUAGGUGGGCUUAUAAGUCAGUGGUGAAAUCUCCGAGCUUAACUUGGAAACUGCCGUUGAUACUAUAGGUCUUGAAUUAUCUGGAGGUAAGCGGAACAUGUCAUGUAGCGGUGAAAUGCUUAGAUAUGACAUAGAACACCAAUUGCGAAGGCAGCUUACUACAUAUAAAUUGACGCUGAGGCACGAAAGCGUGGGGAUCAAACA
rnacentral:rRNA from 1 species